AGUAAUCAUGGUCUUCCUGUGGUUUAUUGAUUCAAAAGGAAAAACGCGGAAAACUUGCAGAUAUCUGAACAUAGUUAUAGAUCAUAUUCCUAGAAGUUCUGUAGAAUAUCGACUUUUGUAUUCAACUAAAGCUAUUCUGCAAUAUUUACUUAUGGUUGUAUGUUUUUACCUUGUCUUUGUGCUGAUAGGCGAGAGCAGCUGACGUGAUCUCCAAGAUCAGGAUGAUAAGUAGCAGUGCAAAGAACUGAGGCACCACAACAACCACAGAACGCCACAACAGCAAUAAUGACACCAACAGCAAUCAACAGCCUUGACCCAGAAGCGUAUUCGAUAUUGGAGAGAGCAAGGUAGGAGCCAUACUUAGCCUCUGCCCAACCUCCAAUAGCAACCAAAAUUAUACCAAAGAU